CGCGGGAGGCGGCGGGCGCCGGCGGCGUGCGGGGGUUGCGGGUUGCUGUGUGCGUGUGUUAUGUGCGGUAGGCGGGUGGUGUGGCGCGGCGCCGGGGGGGUUGGUGUCAUACUUACCUGGCAGGGGAGACACCAUGAUCAGGCAGGUGGUUUUCCCAGGGCGAGGCUCAUCCCCUGCACUCCGGGUGUGCUGACCCCUGCGAUUUCCCCAAAUGCGGGAAACUCGACUGCAUAAUUUGUGGUAGUGGGGGACUGCGUUCGCGCUCUCCCCUGGCUUCUGGUGCCCAAAGACAGCUGCGGUUUGCGGGUGAGGGAGGUCAGCGAGCGGUGCCGGUUCUGCGGUGCUCGCGGUUCUGGCUGGGUGUUGAGGUGUCGGCACCGGUGUCGGGGCCGGGCUCGGGACGAGAUGUGCGGCUGUUCGGGGCGCGGGGGCUGCCGGCGGGGGCUCUCGCCGGCCGGUGUCCCACCGGCGGGGCUGUCCGGGCCCCGCUGCUCGCGCAGGGGUCGGUGCCGCCGUGGGUCCCCGGGGCGGGCAGGGCUGCGGGCGCGGGAGGCGGCCUCGGAGCGCCGGAGCCGGGCGGGAGGUCGCGGCAGGAGAAGCCGCGGCCCGAGCGCUCCCGCCCGAGAGCGGCCCGGCGAGGCAGAGCGGCGGCCCUCGGCAGCGGGCGGCUCCGCCGAGCCGGCGGGUGCCCCCCGGCGCCCCGAGCCCACACGCAGCCCCCGCCGGCCGCUGCUCCCCGCUCCGGCGCGGCCUGCCUUUCCCUGAUGCAGCGCCCCUGCGGGUUUGCUGAGGGCUUCCGCGGUGAAGAACAGCCCGAGCUGGGUGCCUCCGGAGAGGGACCCCGAGCAGAGGAGCCCUGCGCGGUUAUCCCCGUGCAAUCCCCGUUCCCCUGCCCCCAGCUGAUGCUUCCAUCCCGCAGCGAUGCCUGGGGCUGGGGUCGCCUAGUUCCUCAUUGGAUCCUUUCUCUGUCUCCACGUGGGACGUUCCCUCUCUCAUCUUGAUGGAUGCGGCUUCUGCUGACGGUUGUGGCUGUUUAUCGAACAUAUAUAAGUUUAUACAUGCUCCUCGUCCAGGUUAAGUGUCGGUGCCCCAUCCGGCCCAUCCACCUUGGUAAAGGCCGGUGAUAAAGUGUCCUUUGGGCAGGAGCGGUGACACGUCACGAUACCGACCCCAGUUCGUCCCUACUUACUGUCGCCCUCGUUACCCGAGCUUAGGUCGCCCUCGGCUGCUCCAGGGGGGUCCGCAUGCUGCCUUAUGCAGAGAGAGAGGAAAGGGCAGUUGGUUUAUAAACCAUCACACAACAUGCUUAGACUACAUCAAACAUUAAGAUCUUACAACGGUUCUUGCUUUACUGGCAAACGUAGGCAUAACGUCCACUGAAGAGAGCAGUGCUCGAUUCAAUAAUCGGUGAGCCAACUCGCGCAGGACUCGUCCUCCGCUUGACAGUGUCGACAAGGUUUAAUCUGACUGUCCUGUCUACCCUUGCUAGAAAUUCUCUCGUCGCGUAGUCGCUGGCUCUCAACCGUAACGGAGUGACAAGCUUUCUGUGGGGCUUGCCCCCAUAAACCUCUCAUCGGUGUUGCUGAUCUCAUCCUUCACGAAGCUGGAAAUACCGUGGCCCUGGGAAACCACCUUGGUCCAGUUCUCACAUUCCCACUUCCUCCAGUUACAGGCCCUCGGGAAGGUGACGUCUGGGGCAGUCCCUCUUGUCAAGACACCGCACGGAUCAUUGCAUCCGAAGACCACGCAAUUCUGUGUAGCCUUCGGAGCUGCACGCCGGGGAUCCAUCCCGAGAGCCCGGUGCUACCCAGGCCUCCGUCCCGAGUGCUGGAACGUAGGGCGGCAUCGCACGCGCUUCCUGGGAGACGUAGCCGUUCCUUGGCAGUUGCUUGAAUUGCCAGGUCAAGGGUGUCUGGGUGCGUGGCUUUCCUGUCAGCUGGUCUGCCAGGAGACCGGUCAUGGGAGAGCAUCAGGGCUGCCUCAUCUGUCUGCGCUGCACCGGUUUGGGGCCUGCCUUUGUUGCAAAGAAUCGCCACAUUUGUCUCUAGGAGAAAUAGAACAUUAGAAUAUUGUGUGCUUUGAAACUCGUAACCAUAGAAACCUCACUAGGUAGUUACUGUUUUGCAUUAAGAAACUAAGAGAAACUGGAUGAAACAACGAAGAACCAAAUAAAGGAGUUUUGUUUGAA